rnacentral:rRNA from 1 species
GGCUCAGGAUGAACGCUAGCGGCAGGCCUAACACAUGCAAGUCGAGGGGCAGCACGUCUUCGGAUGGUGGCGACCGGCGCACGGGUGCGUAACGCGUAUGCAACCUACCUUACACUGGGGUAUAGCCCGGAGAAAUUCGGAUUAAUCCCCCAUGGUACUUUUGAAUGGCAUCAUUUGGAAGUUAAAGUAUUACGGUGUAAGAUGAGUAUGCGUGUCAUUAGCUAGUUGGUAAGGUAAUGGCUUACCAAGGCAACGAUGACUAGGGGUUCUGAGAGGAUGAUCCCCCACACUGGUACUGAGAUACGGACCAGACUCCUACGGGAGGCAGCAGUAGGGAAUAUUGGGCAAUGGAAGGAAUUCUGACCCAGCCAUGCCGCGUGCAGGAUGAAGGCGCUAUGCGUUGUAAACUGCUUUUGUCAGGGAAGAAAAUGGCUAUGCGUAGCAACUUGACGGUACCUGAAGAAUAAGCAUCGGCUAACUCCGUG